rnacentral:rRNA from 1 species
UUCUGGCUCAGAACGAACGCUGGCGGCGCGUCUUAAGCAUGCAAGUCGAACGGCAAGAGGUAGCAAUACCUCCUAGAGUGGCGGACUGGUGAGUAACACGUGGGUGACAUACCCUUCAGAUGGGGAUAGCUAUUAGAAAUAGUAGAUAAUACCGAAUACGAGCACAGGGGUUAGAGAUCUGUGAGGAAAGGAGCUAAGGCUCCGCUGAAGGAAUGGCCUGCGGCCCAUUAGCUAGUUGGUGAGGUAAGAGCCCACCAAGGCGAUGAUGGGUAUCCGGCCUUAGAGGGUGAACGGACACAUUGGGACUGAGAUACGGCCCAGACUCCUACGGGAGGCAGCAGCUAAGAAUAUUCCGCAAUGGACGAAAGUCUGACGGAGCGACGCCGCGUGGAUGAAGAAGGCCGGAAGGUUGUAAAAUCCUUUUGAAACUGAAGAAUAAGCGUUGUAGGGAAUGACAGCGUGGUGACAGUAGGUUUUGAAUAAGCAACGGCUAAUUACGUGCCAGCAGCAGC